rnacentral:rRNA from 1 species
UUGGAGGGCAAGUCUGGUGCCAGCAGCCGCGGUAAUUCCAGCUCCAAUAGCGUAUAUUAAAGUUGUUGCAGUUAAAAAGCUCGUAGUUGAAUUUCGGGAUUGACACAUCGGUCGUGCCUUAAGGGGUAUGAACUGGUGUAGUCAAUUUCUCACCUUCUGGAGAACCGCGAUGCCCUUAAUUGGGUGUCACGGGGAACCAGGACCUUUACUUUGAAAAAAUUAGAGUGUUUAAAGCAGGCAUUUUGCUUGAAUACAUUAGCAUGGAAUAAUAAAAUAGGACGGCAUGAUUCUAUUUUGUUGGUUUCUAGGAUCACCGUAAUGAUUAAUAGGGAUAGUUGGGGGCAUUAGUAUUCAAUUGUCAGAGGUGAAAUUCUUGGAUUUAUUGAAGACUAACUACUGCGAAAGCAUUUGCCAAGGAUGUUUUCAUUAAUCAAGAACGAAAGUUAGGGGAUCGAAGACGAUCAGAUACCGUCGUAGUCUUAACCAUAAACUAUGCCGACUAGGAAUCAGACGAUGUUAAUUUUUUAAUGACUCGUUUGGCACCUUACGGGAAACCAAAGUGUUUGGGUUC